rnacentral:rRNA from 1 species
ACUCCUACGGAAGGCAGCAGUGGGGGAAUUUUGGACAAUGGGGGGAAACCCUGAUCCAGCCAUGCCGCGUGCGGGGAAGAAGGCCUUCGGGUUGUAAACCGCUUUGUCAGGGAAGAAAAGGACGCAGUCUAAUACAUUGCGGCCAUGACGGUACCUGAAGAAUAAGCACCGGCUAACUACGUGCCAGCAGCCGCGGUAAU